UUGGUCUCUGGGUGAUGCAUUCUGUAACCCUUUUGAGAUGCACUGUAGUCUACCAGGAUACUUUCCUUGGCAUGGAAUUCCCAUUUGGACCAGGACACAGUCAUUUGUAUGCAGACCAGAACGUCAGAGGAAGUGCCGGGAAAGAGAAUGGGGCCGCCAUGUAACUGCUGCCUGGAUGGAGGAAUGGGUGGCGCUUCACACAGGGAUCAAAAUUAAAUGUUGUGGGUGGAAAUGAAAAUAGUUUGACGGAAAUGAGUCAUAGAAGCUGGAGGCCUGAGGGAUCACACAGAUGCCAGCAUUUGAUAACCAUUCAUGUGAGAAGAUGCCUUUUUUCUGAAUGGAGACGUCUUAACUCUUCACCCUGGAGAGG